rnacentral:rRNA from 1 species
CAGUAGCCACGGUAAUACGAAGGGUGCAAGCGUUAAUCGGAAUUACUGGGCGUAAAGCGUGCGUAGGCGGUUUGUUAAGUCUGCUGUGAAAUCCCCGGGCUCAACCUGGGAAUGGCAGUGGAUACUGGCAAGCUAGAGUGUGUCAGAGGAUGGUGGAAUUUCCGGUGUAGCAGUGAGAUGCGUAGAGAUCGGAAGGAACAUCUGUGGCGAAGGCGGCUAUCUGGGCCAACACUGACACUGAGGCACGAAAGCGUGGGGAGCAACCAGGAUUAGAUACCCGGGUAGUCCCUGUCUCUUAUAC